rnacentral:rRNA from 1 species
UCAACAUCUAGUAUCCAUAGUUUACGGCUAGGACUACUGGGGUAUCUAAUCCCAUUUGCUACCCUAGCUUUCGUCUCUGAGUGUUAGUAAUAGCCCAGUAAAGUGCUUUCGCCAUCGGUGUUCUUUCCAAUAUCUACGCAUUUCACCGCUCCACUGGAAAUUCCCUUUACCUCUACUAUACUCUAGUCUAAUAGUUUCGACUGCGAUUUUGAAGUUGAGCCUCAAGAUUUAACAGUUGACUUAUUAAACCACCUACAGACGCUUUACGCCCAGUGAUUCCGGAUAACACUUGCAUCCUCCGUCUUACCGCGGCUGCUGGCACGGAGUUAGCCGAUGCUUAUUCUUCAGGUACACGUCAUUUAUUCCUCCCUGAAAAAAGAGGUUUACAACCCAUAGGCAGUCUUCCCUCACGCUGUAUUGCUCCGUCAGGCUUUCGCCCAUUGCGGAAAAUUCCCCACUGCUGCCUCCCGUAGGAGUCUGGACCGUGUCUCAGUUCCAGUGUGUCUGGUCGUCCUCUCAAACCAGAUACUGAUCGUCGCCUUGGUAAGCUCUUACCUUACCAACAAGCUAAUCAGCCGCGAGCUUCUCUCUAGGCGGAUAAAUAUAAAUCCAUUUCACUGGAAAGCAUAUGGGGUAUUAGCAUUGGUUUCCAAUUGUUGUCCCCCUCCUAAAGGCAAAUUCUCACGUGUUACUCACCCGUCCGCCACUAAAGUUAAAAACUUUCGUACGACUGGCAUGUGUUAGGCAUACAGCCAGCGUUCAUCCUGAGCCAGGAUCAAACUCU